rfam:Enterobacter aerogenes KCTC 2190, complete genome.
UAUUCUGCCCUACGGGGAAGGAUGAGAAGCUUCGACUAAGGUUCGAUUCGAGCGUUAGCGAGAGAACGUUGCCGCAGGCAACGGCCCGAAGGGCGAGGCGCUUUAGCGCCGAGUAAUCCUUCCCCCACCACCA